rnacentral:rRNA from 1 species
AGCAGCCGCGGUAAUUCCAGCUCCAAUAGCGUAUAUUAAAGUUGCUGCAGUUAAAAAGCUCGUAGUUGAAUUUCGGGAUCAUCAUGUCGGUCGUGCCUCGGUACGUACUGGCAUUGUUGGUUUCUACCUUCUGACGAACCAUGAUGUCAUUAAUUUGGUGUCAUGGGGAAUCAGGACUGUUACUUUGAAAAAAUUGAGUGUUUAAAGCAGGCUUACGCUUGAAUAUAUUAGCAUGGAAUAAUGAAAUAGGACGUUUUGAUUCUAUUUUGUUGGUUUCUAGGAUCGACGUAAUGAUUAAUAGGGAUAGUUGGGGGCAUUAGUAUUCAAUUGUCAGAGGUGAAAUUCUUGGAUUUAUUGAAGACUAACUACUGCGAAAGCAUUUGCUAAGGAUGUUU